AUUAUUCAUUCUCAGAAAACUACAGAAAAACAUAACCAAGUAAGUUGAUUAUGACACCAUCAAAUAUCCCAAGUUGUAAUGUGCAUCAGAGAAAUACUCAAAUAUGCCUAGGUGUAAGGUGGACAGUUAACUGCUAUUGACAUGUGGGGGGAGGGAUCUGGUUACCAUGAACUUCAUGGUAAGUUGAUCAAUUGACUAAUACAGUGCUAACACGCAAAAAGAUAUUACUUUUCGACCUGCGUAACGACAUUGUAUAAAUCAAUUAACUAAAGUUAAUUUCAU
rnacentral:lncRNA from 1 species